rnacentral:ncRNA from 15 species
GUGGAUAUAGCUCAAUCGGUAGAGCGUUAGAUUGUGGAUCUAAAGGUCGCGGGUUCGAUUCCUGCUAUUUACC